AAAUCCCUGCAGUGUGCGUUAGCAGCCAUUAAUAAAGAACCAAUUAAUGGAUACGGGACGCUAAACCUCCAGGAUAUCUGUGGAUAUUCUGGGGAGGUUCCCACUUAGUGAAAAGGUUCACUUAUUCCUAGGCGCGACGGCAUAUGCGGGGAUUUU
rnacentral:other from 1 species